AGUGAACGCUGGCGGUAGGCCUAACACAUGCAAGUCGAACGGCAGCACAGUAAGAGCUUGCUCUUACGGGUGGCGAGUGGCGGACGGUUGAGGAAUACAUCGGAAUCUACUUUUUCGUGGGGGAUAACGUAGGGAAACUUACGCUAAUACCGCAUACGACCUACGGGUGAAAGCAGGGGAUCUUCGGACCUUGCGCGAUUGAAUGAGCCGAUGUCGGAUUAGCUAGUUGGCGGGGUAAAGGCCCACCAAGGCGACGAUCCGUAGCUGGUCUGAGAGGAUGAUCAGCCACACUGGAACUGAGACACGGUCCAGACUCCUACGGGAGGCAGCAGUGGGGAAUAUUGGACAAUGGGCGCAAGCCUGAUCCAGCAAUACCGCGUGGGUGAAGAAGGCCUUCGGGUUGUAAAGCCCUUUUGUUGGGAAAGAAAAGCAGCAGGUUAAUACCCCGCUGUUCUGACGGUACCCAAAGAAUAAGCACCGGCUAACUUCGUG
rnacentral:rRNA from 1 species